UGGGGAAUAUUGGACAAUGGGGGAAACCCUGAUCCAGCAAUGCCGCGUGAGUGAUGAAGGCCUUAGGGUUGUAAAGCUCUUUCGGUGGUGACGAUGAUGACGGUAACCACAGAAGAAGCCCCGGCUAACUCCGUGCCAGCAGCCGCGGUAAGACGGAGGGGGCUAGCGUUGUUCGGAAUUACUGGGCGUAAAGCGCACGUAGGCGGCCUUUCAAGUUAGAUGUGAAAGCCCCGGGCUUAACCCGGGAAUUGCAUUUGAUACUGUUAGGCUUGAGACCGGGAGAGGAUAGCGGAAUUCCCAGUGUAGAGGUGAAAUUCGUAGAUAUUGGGAAGAACACCAGUGGCGAAGGCGGCUAUCUGGACCGGUACUGACGCUGAGGUGCGAAAGCGUGGGGAGCAAACAG
rnacentral:rRNA from 1 species